UCCGGUUUGUCACCGGCAGUCUGGCGUGAGUCCCCAACUUAAUGAUGGCAACACACCACGGGGGUUGCGCUCGUUGCGGGACUUAACCCAACAUCUCACGACACGAGCUGACGACAGCCAUGCAGCACCUGUGUUACGGCUCUCUUUCGAGCACCCCCCGAUCUCUCAAAGGUUCCGUACAUGUCAAGGGUAGGUAAGGUUUUUCGCGUUGCAUCGAAUUAAUCCACAUCAUCCACUGCUUGUGCGGGUCCCCGUCAAUUCCUUUGAGUUUUAGUCUUGCGACCGUACUUCCCAGGCGGAGAACUUAAUGCGUUAGCUACGGCACCGCAGGGGUCAACUCCCGCGACACCUAGUUCUCAUCGUUUACGGCGUGGACUAC
rnacentral:misc_RNA from 1 species